GACCUAAUGGCGAAGCGGCAUCGCGUCUCCUAAACUUGCAGAACCUCUCUGAUAGAUGAAGAAGUCCCCGGUUCGAACCCGGGUUAGGUCG